rfam:Hordeum vulgare subsp. vulgare, WGS project CAJW01000000 data, contig: morex_contig_39744
UUAAUACUCUAUCCAUUUGGAAUUACUUGUCGCGUCAAUGGAUACAAAUAAAUGUAUCUAGAAAUAAAAUACAUCUAGAUAUAUCCAUUUUUAUGACAAGUAUUUCCAGACGGAAAGAGUAGUUU